UUCUAAUAGAUAUCCUUAUUAGUAAAAUCUGCCCAUGAAUAAAUUUAAUAGCCGCUGUUUAACCGUGCUAAGGUAGCAUAAUCAUUUGUUUUUUAAUUAAAAACCAGAACGAAAGAUUUAACAUUUAAAUUACUAUUAAAUAUAUAAAUUUUUAAAAUUAUUUUAAAUAUAAAAAAAUAUUUAUUUAUAUAAAAGACGAUAAGACCCUAUUGAACUUAACUUAAGUUUAAACUGGGGUAGUUAAUUAAAUAUUAUUUUAAUAUAAUAAUAAAAAAAAAAGAUCUGGAAAUUUCAAUUAUAUGAUCAAGUUACCUUAGGGAUAACAGCGUAAUAUUUUUCUAAAGCUCUUAUAAAAAAAAAAGUUUACGACCUCGAUGUUGAAUAAUUUUACCUAAUAAUUUUUACGUAAAAAUUUAUAAAGGAAGUCUGUUCGACUUUUAAAUAAUUACA
rnacentral:rRNA from 1 species